rnacentral:tRNA from 1 species
UAUAAGAUAGUUUAAAAAAAAUGUUGUAUUGUGGUUCCAAUGAUGUUAUUAACUCUUAUAA